UACGUAGGGUGCAAGCGUUAAUCGGAAUUACUGGGCGUAAAGCGUGCGCAGGCGGUGAUGUAAGACAGAUGUGAAAUCCCCGGGCUUAACCUGGGAACUGCAUUUGUGACUGCAAGGCUAGAGUGUGUCAGAGGGAGGUGGAAUUCCGCGUGUAGCAGUGAAAUGCGUAGAGAUGCGGAGGAACACCGAUGGCGAAGGCAGCCUCCUGGGAUAACACUGACGCUGAUGCGCGACAGCGUGGGGAGCAAACAGG
rnacentral:rRNA from 1 species